AGCGGGUAUAGCACUUCCUUGGUUUCUGGUGUUUUCUUCCCAGGAAACGAUUAUUAUUUUUAGGCUGAAAAAAAAUCGCUUUCACAUGACACCGAAGUGAACUUCCGAAGCGCUGAUCUUGCGGUAUCGACAGGUAAUUUGCGGGUUUCGGCAUUUCGAACGGACAGGAAAUCCAUAGCGCAGUGUUUACAGAUCCCUACGAUGCGCACCACGGCAAAUGGCAGGAUUAUUUCAAAGUGGCCACCUCCACGGCGUUACAAAUCGUUGAAGAAAAUGA